UACAGAGGGUGCAAGCGUUAAUCGGAAUUACUGGGCGUAAAGCGUGCGUAGGUGGUUUUUUAAGUUGGCUGUGAAAGCCCCGGGCUUAACCUGGGCAUGCCAGCCAAUACUGGGAAACUAGAGUACAGUAGAGGAUAGUGGAAUUUCCGGUGUAGCGGUGAAAUGCGUAGAUAUCGGAAGGAACACCAGUGGCGAAGGCGGCUAUCUGGACUGAUACUGACACUGAGGUACGAAAGCAUGGGGAGCAAACAGG
rnacentral:rRNA from 1 species